GGGUAACCUGCCCAUAAGACUGGGAUAACUCCGGGAAACCGGGGCUAAUACCGGAUAACAUUUUGAACCGCAUGGUUCGAAAUUGAAAGGCGGCUUCGGCUGUCACUUAUGGAUGGACCCGCGUCGCAUUAGCUAGUUGGUGAGGUAACGGCUCACCAAGGCAACGAUGCGUAGCCGACCUGAGAGGGUGAUCGGCCACACUGGGACUGAGACACGGCCCAGACUCCUACGGGAGGCAGCAGUAGGGAAUCUUCCGCAAUGGACGAAAGUCUGACGGAGCAACGCCGCGUGAGUGAUGAAGGCUUUCGGGUCGUAAAACUCUGUUGUUAGGGAAGAACAAGUGCUAGUUGAAUAAGCUGGCACCUUGACGGUACCUAACCAGAAAGCCACGGCUAACUACGUGCCAGCAGCCGCGGUAAUACGUAGGUGGCAAGCGUUAUCCGGAAUUAUUGGGCGUAAAGCGCGCGCAGGUGGUUUCUUAAGUCUGAUGUGAAAGCCCACGGCUCAACCGUGGAGGGUCAUUGGAAACUGGGAGACUUGAGUGCAGAAGAGGAAAGUGGAAUUCCAUGUGUAGCGGUGAAAUGCGUAGAGAUAUGGAGGAACACCAGUGGCGAAGGCGACUUUCUGGUCUGUAACUGACACUGAGGCGCGAAAGCGUGGGGAGCAAACAGGA
rnacentral:rRNA from 1 species